AUUGAACGCUGGCGGAAUGCUUUACACAUGCAAGUCGAACGGCAGCACGGGAGCAAUCCUGGUGGCGAGUGGCGAACGGGUGAGUAAAGUAUCGGAACGUGCCCAGUCGUGGGGGAUAACGUAGCGAAAGUUACGCUAAUACCGCAUACGAUCUAGGGAUGAAAGCGGGGGAUCGCAAGACCUCGCGCGAUUGGAGCGGCCGAUAUCAGAUUAGGUAGUUGGUGGGGUAAAGGCUCACCAAGCCGACGAUCUGUAGCUGGUCUGAGAGGACGACCAGCCACACUGGGACUGAGACACGGCCCAGACUCCUACGGGAGGCAGCAGUGGGGAAUUUUGAACAAUGGGCGAAAGCCUGAUCCAGCCAUGCCGCGUGCAGGAUGAAGGCCUUCGGGUUGUAAACUGCUUUUGUACGGAACGAAAAGGUUUGGCCUAAUAAGCUGAGCUCAUGACGGUACCGUAAGAAUAAGCACCGGCUAACUACGUGCCAGCAGCCGCCGUAA
rnacentral:rRNA from 1 species